GUCCCUGUCCACCUGAUCUAAUCCGUCUCGACUCUCGAUCUAAACUUCCCCACUCCACCAGACCAGACCGCCGGCGAAAUCAGCCAUCGGCAAGCCGCCGAGCACCAUUUUCAAAACCUACAAUCAAGCAGGUUUGGAGUUGUUUUAAUUACGGAGGAGUUAGGUUCCACCUUCGACUAGUUGAAGCCAGAAAGGAAGAAGGUUCAAGGGUUGGGUGUAUUUGGAAAUGGCAUUGCUGAAUGUGUUGAAGGGCGAGCCACUGGUGACGAAGCUGGCAGCAGUGGCUAAGUAUGCUGUUCUUCCAGGUGCUAUGAUUGCUGCUCUGAUCUAUUCACCUCCAGAUUAUUUGUGUAAGAAGCCUCAACCUGCUUCAGCUUCCAAGUAGACUUGGUGUGCUUCAGCUUCUCACCAUGUAAUUCCCAUCGGGAACUUUGAGUGCUUAAAUUAAAUAAAAGCCUUUCCAGAGUUUACUGAAAUGGUGCAGCAGUUUAGUAAGUGCUAUGUAAUGAGUAAUUUUCACAGCUAUGUUAGGCUCACCUUAAAUUUCAGGAUUUUUGGAAUUGAAUGUUUCUUUUCAUUUGAAGAUUGUUAAGCAGCUUCCAAAUGAAAAAUGAAUUGAUGUUUCAGUUAAUGAGUUUAUAGCUGGCUUUGAGCUAUUCAGAUGGGGUGAAUUACUCACCAACAUUUUUAGUUGUGGAUGCCAAUGUUGGGAUUGGGGUUGUUGCUGGAACAAACAAUUGUCUAGUUGAUGAAGUAGCUGACUCUGUUGUGUCUAAUUGCAAUUUACUGCCACAGACUGAUCUUUGAAA